rnacentral:rRNA from 1 species
UUAAGGUAAUAAUUAAUUAAUAAAUUUAUUAAUAAAAGAAUUUUUAUUUAAAAUUUGUAUAAAUUAGUUUUAGUAUAUUUUAUAGAAAAAAUUUUAAAAUUUAUAAUGAAUAAGUAUUGUGAAAGAAAUUUGAAAUAAUUGAAAAUUUAUUUUAAAAAAAGUAAUUUUAAUUUAUUGUAUCUUGUGUAUCAGAGUUUAUUAAUAAAAAUUUUUAAAUAAAAAUUUCUCGAAUUAAAAAGAGUUAUUAAAUUAUAAAAGUUAUUGUUUCAUAAAUAUUUUUAAUAAUUUAAUUGAAAUGAAAUGUUAAUCGUUUUUUAAGAUAUCUAGUUUUUUUAGAAAAAAAUUUAAUUUUAAAUUUUAAAUAUAAAAUAAUUUUUUAGAUAAUUAUUUAAUUUAAAAUUUUAAUAUUUUAAGGGAUAAGCUUUAAAAUAAAUUUUUAUAAGAAUUUUAAAUUUAUUAAGAAUUUUAUAAUUUAUAUUGUUAAAUAAAUUUUAAUUUAUUAUAAAUAAUUUUAUUGAAAUAAAAAUUUAAUUAUAAUUCUUUAAUUUUUUAUAAAAAAUUAAUAUUUAAUAAUAUAAUUUUUAAUUAUAAUGAUAAAAUUAGUAUAUAAAAAUUAUUUAAUUUAAAAUAUUAUAUUUAUGUUAAAUUAAUUAAAAAGAAUUCGGCAAAUUUAAUUAAAUUAUAUUCACCUGUUUAUCAAAAACAUGUCUUUUUGUUAAUAAUUUAAAGUCUAAUCUGCCCACUGAUUUAUUAUUAAAGGGCUGCAGUAUUUUGACUGUACAAAGGUAGCAUAAUCAUUAGUCUCUUAAUUGGUGACUUGUAUGAAUGAUUGAAUGAAAUAUAAUCUGUUUCUUAAUUAUUUAUAAAAUUUAAUUUUUUUAUCAAAAAGUAAAAAUAAAUUUAAAAGACGAGAAGACCCCAUAGAGUUUAAUAUAAGAAUUAAUUUAAAAUUAUAUUUAAUGAAAUUAAUUAAAAUUAUUUUUUGUAUUUUAUUGGGGUGAUAAAAAAAUUAGAAAAACUUUUUUAUUUUAAUUUCCAUAGAUAAAUGAAUUUAUGAUCCAUUAUUAUUGAUUAAAAGAAAAAAUUACCUUGGGGAUAACAGCGUAAUUUUUUCUUCUAGUUCAUAUAGGAGAAAGAGUUUGCGACCUCGAUGUUGGAUUAAGAUAAAAUUUAAAUGCAAAAGUUUAAAAUUUUGAUCUGUUCGAUCAUUAAAAUCUUACAUGAUCUGAGUUCAAACCGGUGUAAGCCAGGUUGGUUUCUAUCUUUAAAUAAAUAAAAUAUUUUAGUACGAAAGGAUCGAAUAUUUAAAAUAAUUUUUAUUUUUAGAAUUUUAUUAAUUUUAAUUUAAAAUUGAAAAAUUUUUAAUUUUGUAAUAUUAUAU